UGCCGCCGCCCCCGCCGCCGUGGCCUCUUCCUGCUCCGUCCUCAUCCCUGGCGUGUCCCGUGCACGAGAGGCCGCCACCUCUCCUCACCUUCUCCUCGCUUCCCGAUCUGAAGUGAAGGGAUUGACGCGGCCGCCGGGGAUGACUCCAGUUCAUCGUCGAUGGGAGAAGGGGAGCAUCAGCCGCCUCCCUCUCGGCCUCCCCGUCUCGUCGGAGCCGCCGCUCUCAGGGUCCUUCCCAGCCAUCCAAGGAUCUCCCAUCCCAUCCCGAGCCGGAUUUCAGUGACAGGGGAUGAGAGAAUCGACGAUGCAUCAAGGCCCCCGCCACCUCUAUUGCGGCACAGCACAACAGCCUCUGCAGAAGCUAAGCGGCAGUUGCCUCGUCUCCUUUUCAAUCGCAACACCUGCGACCUUUAAUCUCAAUAGCAGAGCCCUCAGUUGUUAGGGAAGGUUUGCUCGUGCUUGUGAUGGUUGGCCACAUCCCAGCAGCGUGUGGGAGCCGCUGUUUUCAGCCAGAGUUGGGUCUCCUUGCCAUUCAUCACCAGCCUGUCUGCAGAAAGACGAAGGCGAUGAAGAGGAUACAUGAGCGGUCAAGUCAGCGUGAGGUGGAGAAGAUGUGGCAUUUCUGUCGGUGGCGCUGGGCCAGCAACAUCAGACAGUGGACUACGGGGAGCUGCCGUGGGUGGUGGCUACAGUUUCCACGAGAGUGGGGUGGGGGUGGCACAUGUGGGGGCGACGACAGCAAGUGGAUCCGCACCGCUGAGGUGCACAACCACUCCGAGAAGAGGAGUGGGAUCGGCGAGAAGAUUGAAGGUGUUGCGGACCCUGUACUCAAUUCCAACAAGAUUAACAAGGCAUCUAUGCUUGACGAGGCCAUUGAGUAUGAGAAGCAGCUAUAUCUCGAAGUACAAGUUAGUAAGCAUGCCUGGAUGCAUGGUUGGAGGAUGAGCUUAGAUUGAGGGAGAUGGUGGUCUCAUCGAGGACGUAUGCAUGUUGCUGAGGAGGUUCAGUUCUUGUAGGCUGGGUAAAACUUGAGUUGCCUACAAAUGAUUUUGCCCGUUUGUUGAAGAUUUUUCUGGGCUUGUGCAUGGCGAGCCCGAUGGGCUGCUUAUGAGCAGUUUGCACUGUAGGUUGUCAAAUCCUUGCAAGAUAGAAUGUGUUUUUUUUGCAUUUUGGGCUUACAAUGGAGUAAUCAACAGCUACGACCAUGCAGGUAUGAACUUUGUAUGAGAGGCUAAGAUAGGCAUGGUGACAUGGAUCAUGGUACUUGGUUUUGCUAGAUUUCAUGUGUCUAUCCAUCUAUACUAUCUCCAACAAUGCAUAUUUUUCCCAUGUAUCUCUCAUUCUUCCAUGUAGCUAGAGACUUAGAAUAACCAACGGAACUUUCUCAAUUUUGUGUUUUCGCUCUUCUCAGAUUUUAGGCUGGGUGUAUAGAGAUGUGCGGCACACACUGAAUUUAGAUUUCACUUGGAAUAUAUCAUUGUGCCAUGUUCAAAAUUAGAACUACAUAGAAGAAUGAAAUUUUGUGAUUGGGCUGCUGUGGUGUUUCUUUUUAAAUAAAUGGCAUGCUAACUUGCUGGUUUAAUUUAGGUGUGUAAGAUAGUGUCUCCUCUCCGUUGCAACAAUCAACUUUCUCAGGUUUGUCCAGUGGUUUGAUGCAGCUGAACCAUAGAAGCAACCAAUAGCUAUUCUGAAUAAUUAUGACUGUUCUCAGCUAAACCACACCUGUACUAGCUAAACCAAGGAAGCAACUUAUGAUCAAACCUGACAAUGGUUAGCAUGAUCAGGUUGGAGGCGUUAUUUCUCGUGAGGAGGUCUUUUUGCUCAGUCUUGGUUUACUAGCUUCAUCCGGUUUUGAAGUGUCGGCAUGGUGUACAAGCCUGUUGACGGGAUAUCUCAUAACUGAAACCAUGAACAACAAGUGCUUCGGUUAUGGUGUUGGCGAUCCAUUGCUUGAGGCGACAUCGUGUGCAAGAUUAUUCUUGUGGAGGCCACUGGCACAGUGGCACCCUCCUCGGUCUGCUGAUCCCAUUACCCAGGUUGCGUGUUGCGCCUAAAUGUUGGAUAUAUGGUGAUCUGGUAAUGCCGAUUUGGGAAAGCAGGUGUACAAUGUGUGUAAAUUAAGAAAACAAUUUAUAAUCUGUGAUGUGAUCACUGCAUUUUAAUUUAGUAUAUGCGAUCCCCUCAAGUAGGGAAGUAUUGAAUGCACCUCUCUGGCAAGUGCACGCAUAAGGGUACCAUUUUUUACUCAAUCGAUUUCAAAGCAAGGCAUGAGACUGACAUACACUCUUUAAUUGCAUCGUGUAAAGAUAUGUGGUGUGAGGGGAAGGAGAAAUGUGGGACCUCAUAUUUUAAAGUGAUGGCCGAGUUGA